GUCCUAGCUGUAAACGAUGCUUACUAGGUGUGGGAGGUAUCGACCCCUUCCGUGCCGCCGCUAACGCAUUAAGUCAGCCGCCUGGGGAGUACGGCCGCAAGGUUAAAACUCAAUGGAAUUGACGGGGGCCCGCACAAGCAGUGGAGCAUGUGGUUUAAUUCGACGCUACGCGAAGAACCUUACCUGGGCUCGAACGACUGGUGGUAGUCUGGAUGAAAGUCUAGGCGACCCGCAAGGGAGCCAGCCGAGGUGCUGCAUGGCUGUCGU
rnacentral:rRNA from 1 species